UACGGAGGGGGCUAGCGUUGUUCGGAAUCACUGGGCGUAAAGCGCACGUAGGCGGAUGUGUCAGUCAGGGGUGAAAUCCCGGGGCUCAACCUCGGAACUGCCUUUGAUACAGCACGUCUCGAGUCCGGAAGAGGUGGGUGGAAUUCCUAGUGUAGAGGUGAAAUUCGUAGAUAUUAGGAAGAACACCGGUGGCGAAGGCGGCCCACUGGUCCGGUACUGACGCUGAGGUGCGAAAGCGUGGGGAGCAAACAGG
rnacentral:rRNA from 1 species